rnacentral:rRNA from 1 species
UACCAUACGAAUAAGCACCGGCUAACUCCGUGCCAGCGGCCGCGGUAAUACGGAGGGUGCAAGCGUUAUCCGGAUUUAUUGGGUUUAAAGGGUCCGUAGGCGGAUUAAUAAGUCAGUGGUGAAAUCCUACAGCUUAACUGUAGAACUGCCAUUGAUACUGUUAGUCUUGAAUAGUAUUGAAGUAGCUGGAAUGUGUAGUGUAGCGGUGAAAUGCAUAGAUAUUACACAGAACACCAAUUGCGAAGGCAGGUUACUAAAUACUUAUUGACGCUGAUGGACGAAAGCGUGGGGAGCGAACAGGAUUAGAUACCCUGGUAGUCCACGCCGUAAACGAUGGACACUCGUUGUUGGGUUUUCGGACUCAGUGACUAAGCGAAAGUAAUAAGUAUCCCACCUGGGGAGUACGUUCGCAAGGAUGAAACU